rnacentral:rRNA from 1 species
GGGACACGUGGUAUCCUGUCUGAAUAUGGGGGGACCAUCCUCCAAGGCUAAAUACUCCUGACUGACCGAUAGUGAACCAGUACCGUGAGGGAAAGGCGAAAAGAACCCCGGCGAGGGGAGUGAAAAAGAACCUGAAACCGUGUACGUACAAGCAGUGGGAGCCUCUUAAUGGGGUGACUGCGUACCUUUUGUAUAAUGGGUCAGCGACUUAUAUUCUGUAGCAAGGUUAACCGAAUAGGGGAGCCGAAGGGAAACCGAGUCUUAACUGGGCGUUAAGUUGCAGGGUAUAGACCCGAAACCCGGUGAUCUAGCCAUGGGCAGGUUGAAGGUUGGGUAACACUAACUGGAGGACCGAACCGACUAAUGUUGAAAAAUUAGCGGAUGACUUGUGGCUGGGGGUGAAAGGCCAAUCAAACCGGGAGAUAGCUGGUUCUCCCCGAAAGCUAUUUAGGUAGCGCCUCGUGAAUUCAUCUCCGGGGGUAGAGCACUGUUUCGGCAAGGGGGUCAUCCCGACUUACCAACCCGAUGCAAACUGCGAAUACCGGAGAAUGUUAUCACGGGAGACACACGGCGGGUGCUAACGUCCGUCGUGAAGAGGGAAACAACCCAGACCGCCAGCUAAGGUCCCAAAGUCAUGGUUAAGUGGGAAACGAUGUGGGAAGGCCCAGACAGCCAGGAUGUUGGCUUAGAAGCAGCCAUCAUUUAAAGAAAGCGUAAUAGCUCACUGGUCGAGUCGGCCUGCGCGGAAGAUGUAACGGGGCUAAACCAUGCACCGAAGCUGCGGCAGCGACACUAUGUGUUGUUGGGUAGGGGAGCGUUCUGUAAGCCUGUGAAGGUGUACUGUGAGGUAUGCUGGAGGUAUCAGAAGUGCGAAUGCUGACAUAAGUAACGAUAAAGCGGGUGAAAAGCCCGCUCGCCGGAAGACCAAGGGUUCCUGUCCAACGUUAAUCGGGGCAGGGUGAGUCGACCCCUAAGGCGAGGCCGAAAGGCGUAGUCGAUGGGAAACAGGUUAAUAUUCCUGUACUUGGUGUUACUGCGAAGGGGGGACGGAGAAGGCUAUGUUGGCCGGGCGACGGUUGUCCCGGUUUAAGCGUGUAGGCUGGUUUUCCAGGCAAAUCCGGAAAAUCAAGGCUGAGGCGUGAUGACGAGGCACUACGGUGCUGAAGCGACAAAUGCCCUGCUUCCAGGAAAAGCCUCUAAGCAUCAGGUAACAUCAAAUCGUACCCCAAACCGACACAGGUGGUCAGGUAGAGAAUACCAAGGCGCUUGAGAGAACUCGGGUGAAGGAACUAGGCAAAAUGGUGCCGUAACUUCGGGAGAAGGCACGCUGAUAUGUAGGUGAAGCGACUUGCUCGUGGAGCUGAAAUCAGUCGAAGAUACCAGCUGGCUGCAACUGUUUAUUAAAAACACAGCACUGUGCAAACACGAAAGUGGACGUAUACGGUGUGACGCCUGCCCGGUGCCGGAAGGUUAAUUGAUGGGGUUAGCGGUAACGCGAAGCUCUUGAUCGAAGCCCCGGUAAACGGCGGCCGUAACUAUAACGGUCCUAAGGUAGCGAAAUUCCUUGUCGGGUAAGUUCCGACCUGCACGAAUGGCGUAAUGAUGGCCAGGCUGUCUCCACCCGAGACUCAGUGAAAUUGAACUCGCUGUGAAGAUGCAGUGUACCCGCGGCAAGACGGAAAGACCCCGUGAACCUUUACUAUAGCUUGACACUGAACAUUGAGCCUUGAUGUGUAGGAUAGGUGGGAGGCUUUGAAGUGUGGACGCCAGUCUGCAUGGAGCCGACCUUGAAAUACCACCCUUUAAUGUUUGAUGUUCUAACGUGGGCCCCUUACCGGGGUUGCGGACAGUGUCUGGUGGGUAGUUUGACUGGGGCGGUCUCCUCCUAAAGAGUAACGGAGGAGCACGAAGGUUGGCUAAUCCUGGUCGGACAUCAGGAGGUUAGUGCAAUGGCAUAAGCCAGCUUGACUGCGAGCGUGACGGCGCGAGCAGGUGCGAAAGCAGGUCAUAGUGAUCCGGUGGUUCUGAAUGGAAGGGCCAUCGCUCAACGGAUAAAAGGUACUCCGGGGAUAACAGGCUGAUACCGCCCAAGAGUUCAUAUCGACGGCGGUGUUUGGCACCUCGAUGUCGGCUCAUCACAUCCUGGGGCUGAAGUAGGUCCCAAGGGUAUGGCUGUUCGCCAUUUAAAGUGGUACGCGAGCUGGGUUUAGAACGUCGUGAGACAGUUCGGUCCCUAUCUGCCGUGGGCGCUGGAGAACUGAGGGGGGCUGCUCCUAGUACGAGAGGACCGGAGUGGACGCAUCACUGGUGUUCGGGUUGUCAUGCCAAUGGCACUGCCCGGUAGCUAAAUGCGGAAGAGAUAAGUGCUGAAAGCAUCUAAGCACGAAACUUGCCCCGAGAUGAGUUCUCCCUGACUCCUUGAGAGUCCUGAAGGAACGUUG